rnacentral:rRNA from 1 species
AGCGAACGCUGGCGGCAGGCCUAACACAUGCAAGUCGAACGAAGUCUUCGGACUUAGUGGCGGACGGGUGAGUAACACGUGGGAACGUGCCUUUAGGUUCGGAAUAACUCAGGGAAACUUGUGCUAAUACCGAAUGUGCCCUUCGGGGGAAAGAUUUAUCGCCUUUAGAGCGGCCCGCGUCUGAUUAGCUAGUUGGUGAGGUAAAGGCUCACCAAGGCGACGAUCAGUAGCUGGUCUGAGAGGAUGAUCAGCCACAUUGGGACUGAGACACGGCCCAAACUCCUACGGGAGGCAGCAGUGGGGAAUCUUGCGCAAUGGGCGAAAGCCUGACGCAGCCAUGCCGCGUGAAUGAUGAAGGUCUUAGGAUUGUAAAAUUCUUUCACCGGGGACGAUAAUGGCGGUAUCCGGAGAAGAAGCCCCGGCUAACUUCGUGCCAGCCGCCGCCGUAAAAC